rnacentral:lncRNA from 1 species
AAGAAUAUUAUCAAAAUUCUCUGCAUCAAAAUACUGUAUAAAUCGUUGCGUUACGAAGUAUCCACUACAAAAUGAAGCAGUUCAUGUUUUAUUUUUGCAUUGUUAUCUUCAUUAUAUACGUGUCUAACAGAGAAGUAAUGGCCCAAAAUAAUGAGGGUGCAAUGCAACAAACUCCUCCACCGGAAAUUAUCAUAGAACCACCUUCUGUCAUUGUUACUAUACCAAGUGCUUUUCUGGCUAAUAGCGGUAAAAGAUCAGAGAAUAGUAAAGGCUGAAGGCCACUUGUCAUUCGUAACCAAAGAAGAAGAAAACAACUCUCAGUUGUUUGAAUCUUGUGAUGGUUAAUAAAGAAUUGUUUGGCUGAAC